rfam:Ictidomys tridecemlineatus contig013971, whole genome shotgun sequence.
AUCCUUUUUGGUUCAUAAGCUUGAUGAUCGGGUGUUCACGCUGCCCUGUGAGACGUGCCUCCCUCUGAACCUUGCUACGAUGUCGGCACCUUACCUUUCUGACA